UGAAAGUAAUAGUCAGUCUACUUCACUCGAUUGACACAUGAAAGAAUUUUGAAACUACAUAAAUUUUCCGGGAAAAUUCACUACCUUUCAUUUUCGGGAAACCAAACAUAGCCGAUUCCGGCCACCAUGUGGGUGCAGAUUCUUUGCGGUCUCCUAAUUUACAAACCGUUCAAGCGAAUCUUCGACGGCGACGACGUUUUGGACAUCGAAACCUCCGAUUCUAAUGCGAUUUUUUCAGUUGCAAAUAGAUUAGUAAGGCACUCGUGGGGCUCUGAAUUCCGGAUCCGGAUACGGGUUCGUGACAGAAUAUAGAUACUGUUCUUGUUACUAAAGGGGAGGCCGGGGUGGUUUCUGUGAAGAAUUUUUCAGGAUUUGUAUCAAUCAAUGGAGAUGGCAGCUGGGCUUGUGAAGGCUAGCAUGGGCACAGAUGACAGCAUUACCUGUGGAGGAAGUUAAAAAACAAGCUGCAGUUCUUCAAUCAUAUCUUGAACAAAGGGGAGUUGCCCUGUCAGAAGGAUAUUUCUUGUACAAAGUUGUACUUCCUAAUCCAAAAUUUUGCUCCAUUUAUUCAAACAAUUUUCCACCCGAGGUUAUCACCUUUGAGCAGUGGACACUAUUGAAACCAGAACAAAAAAAUAUGCUGUCUGGCUGGCUUAAGGGUGCCUUUAGUGGUGGAAAAAAAAGAGACGCAGGAAUCUAUUAAUCAGCAACUCAAUUUUAUUCUCAGCACAGCUCCAAUCUGGGACCGGUUUUGCUUUUUUUGCUUUUGAUUUUUCUGUACCUUAAUAUUCUGUGUUUUUUUUUUUUUUUUGCAUAUUGUCGUAUGGAAUUUAUGUCAAUCAACUGUUUGGUAGAUAAUAUAGAUACCAAUCAAGAAAAUCCUAGUUCAUAGAUAGUAAAACCUGCAAUCCAAUCUUCUGCAUCAUAUGUAUGUUACUCUUGUAUUUAAAGAUGAUCCUGAAUUGUAGAGACUAAAGCACUUACAAAAAUAGUGAUGAAAACAUGUUUACAUAUUAGUCAUAUGUAUGUUACUCUUGUAUGUAAAGAUGACCCUGAACAGUAGAGAUUAAAGCACUUAUGUAAACAGUGACGAAAACAAGUUUGUUGUGACUACUUGUUAAAGUUAUGACGUUUAAUUUUUUUUCCAAGGAUUUCUGGUCCAUCUCCCUGAAUUUCCUGAUUGCUGUAAAAUUAAAACAAAACUAGCAAUAAUUAACUGUUUUACAUGGACCUAUCAUCCUUGCUUCAGUUCUCAUAGUGGAAAAAGAUUGUGAUCUGAUAAAAUGGCCAUAGUUUAUGGUAUAAAAUGGUGCUUAGCUGGUGCUAGAUAUUAUCUCAUAGAUAUCCAGACUGAUGAUUUAGUCUAAGUUUUUGGGUUGUAGAUUUAUGGUCCAUCUUUUUCCAAAGAAUAUGAAAAAUCGAUGUUUGUACCGAAAUUGCAUGCUAGCACAUAGCUUUCGCAUGGUAGGCUGCCACCAGCUGAUUUUAGGUUUUUAAAAUGCAUAACUUGUUUAUAAUUCAAUUUAUAUUAGGAUUCAAAUUCAAUGGAUAAAUUUAAUUCUGAGUUGUUCUCUGAAAAUAUCUGCUUAGAGUCUUUCACUCUUGCUUGACUUAGGCAAGAUCCUGUUUGGCAUUGAUACCCUGAGCAACAUUAGAAUCUAGAACAUUGAGGGUGCCCUUAACCCUUAAUUAUUUUUGUUCAUUGACUCUAAUUUAAGUAUAUAUUUGUUGGUUUGAAUAGCCUUAGAAUUAGGUUUGACUUGUGUCAAACAUGUUGCAUCCCACCAAGUUUAUGGAACAGAUAGUAUAAUGUUCUCAUAUGUUAGGUUAUUCUUUGAUUGAAUUUUUUUCCAUCAUAAAUUUGAUAUGUUUUGUACAUUGUAGCCACUUGAGGGAAAAUGAUAAAAACCUCUCUAUUUAUUGGCAGGUUGGAAGUUAAAGGUAAUAAAUAUGACCUAGGGGAAUUUCUCAAAUUUAAAGGGAAGCAAGAAGAUACAUAGAUUUUGAGAUCUAUCAAAAGAUCUAAAGUGAGUUGUCUAGUCAUCCAAAAGACGAGUAUGUUUGGAUUAGCCAAGACACUAUAUGGUGAUGAUGAUGAUGAAGAAGAUGCUCUGCAAAAGAACACUAACAUUGAUGAGCCAAAAUUAAUUGGUCUUCAUCCAGUUUCAAAUGAAAAGGUUCUUUUGAAGGAGGGUCCUUACAGCUUGGUGAAGAUAGGACGGGUUAUUUGCCCAAAAGGGCCACCGCUUCCCAUAUUAAGGAUGUGGACUCUAUUACACUUGAAGACGCGCUGGAGCUGCUGCGUUACCCUUUGACAUUAGGAAACCAUCCAAAGGAUGGACAUCCAGUUAUAUUAAAGCAUGCAAAGGCUGGAUUUUCUGUUAGACAUCGACGCACCAUAGCUUCUGUUCCAAAGAAUAUGAAAGCGAAGGACAUCACUCUAGAGAGGGCAUUGGAACUUUUGUCGAGUAAAGAUGUAAGAGUGUUUAAAAAUUCACAAAUUAAUCUCUAAAAAGUUUCAAACUCCUAUAUAUUUUAAAAUUACUAUAUGGCCUUAGCAACUGUAAUAUGAUAUUUAUGUUUAUAAUUUGUUA